UCUAGCUCUUAGGAUAUGGACCUCGACCUCUUCAAACCUUCCAACCCUAAUCAAGGAAAGGAGACGUUUCCCAGGUUCCUACCCCUCGGCCCUCCGCCUUAGGGCCACCCCAGACGCUUCCUCCUUCCUAAACCACCCUUCCCGGCCUACCCCAGCCUUUAGUAGGCCUCAACCCUUAUCCACUCCGCCAUUGUUAUUUACAUCGUCGUCUGGGGAGGCCGAACGCUUCACCCCGUGCGGAUGGGACUCCCUGGCAGCGCUCAUCGUUGCUGGGACCCCCGGCGGGAAACGCCGAACCCCCUCGCCGUUCUCUCUUCAGCAGCGGCGCCAGCAGCCUGCAACCUGCCCCCGGCCCGAGCAGCGCCACUCCAGAACGCAGAGCCCCUCCAGGCCUUCUCCGCCACAGUCGUCACCGCCGCGGCUACUCGCCACCCACGGAGCAUUCGUGUAGUUGUAGUUUUCGGGCUCACCUCAUACCGAUCUGCACAAGAGGGAUGAGCCGGGGAACGGAAACUACAAUUCCCAGGAGGCUCAGCGGCGCAGAUCGCGCUGCGUGGCGGGAGUGCCCUCUAAAGCUCCGCCUUCUUCGGCCGGUGGAGGGAGCUUUCCCGCGGAUGGUUAUGGCGGUGAGCGUUCGUGUAGAGCUUCGUCGCCACAGAAAGCGGCUUAGAGGCUUCGUCGCCACAGAAACGGGCAUUUCGCUGUGAGAUGCUGCGCGACUGAUAGAGGCGUCUGUCGUAGUUAAGCACCUAGUUUUAAAUAAUUGUUGGCACCUGGAUGAUUAAAUCUUCAAGUUAUCGUAAAUCAAGAUCACAAGCCAAAAAGUAACAUAGGAAAUAAAAAAGACUGGAUCAUUCUAAGAAAUUUUACUCAGUUUCGUUACAGAAGGCUGUAUAGGACUAUUUUGCUAGAUUCUAAAUGAUAAAACAUAGAGCCUUGAAGCCCAUAGAAGUCCAGUAUAUUCUGAGGUAAAUUGCCUAUUAAUGAACAGCAGCAAGAGAUAUAACUGAUGGAUGAAAAUUAAAUGAUACAACAUUCGGAACAACUGCAACCCUAUCCUUUCAGAUACCCAGUCCUUUCCUAUUGGUUAUUCUGAAAUCUGAGCAACUCAUUUACUCUUAAGAGAUCAAAAGCUCCCUGAAAGAACUGAGUCUGAAUUCUGCAUACCAGCAUAGUUCCAGUGUCCACAAUGUUUGGCACUAAGUAGGUACUUAAUAAUAUUUGCAAGAACAAAUGUAAAUAAAAGAUGAAUAGAAGCCUCCAAAGGAUUCACAUUCUAUUCGACGAAGAUAAUAUGUGCAUAAGUAUAACAAUAUAACAGCAAAUACAGAGCAGCAAUUAUAGCAGUUAAGGCAAGAUCUCAAAGAUUCCACAAAUGUUCUGCACUGGAGGUUAUUUGUAUGUGUCUUAUUAUCAUGUCCCUUGCUUGUAGUCUAACAAAAAUUCUCAUACAAAUGUACUUAACACAGCACCUAGUAUGGUGUUACUUGUACAUAGUGGUCAUUCAUUAACUAUUUAAUUAGUGAAUGUAGACAAAUUAUGAACCAUAUAGUGGGCUUGAGAAUUAGUGUGCAUAAGAAUCAUCUGAGCAGAAUCACUUACUUAAAAUAUAGACUCCACUCAUCUAUUGGUGGGCUCUAG